GACUGCCACAGCAUCUUUCUCUCGGCAGUCGCGGCUG
rnacentral:ncRNA from 1 species